GACGAACGCUGGCGGCGUGCCUAAUACAUGCCAGUUGAGCGCUGAAGGUUGGUACUUGUACCAACUGGAUGAGCAGCGAACGGGUGAGUAACGCGUGGAAUCUGCCUUUGAGCGGGGGACAACAUUUGGAAACGAAUGCUAAUACCGCAUAAAAACUUUAAACACAAGUUUUAAGUUUGAAAGAUGCAAUUGCAUCACUCAAAGAUGAUCCCGCGUUGUAUUAGCUAGUUGGUGAGGUAAAGGCUCACCAAGGCGAUGAUACAUAGCCGACCUGAGAGGGUGAUCGGCCACAUUGGGACUGAGACACGGCCCAAACUCCUACGGGAGGCAGCAGUAGGGAAUCUUCGGCAAUGGACGAAAGUCUGACCGAGCAACGCCGCGUGAGUGAAGAAGGUUGUCGGAUCGUAAAACUCUGUUGGUAGAGAAGAACGUUGGUGAGAGUGGAAAGCUCAUCAAGUGACGGUAACUACCCAGAAAGGGACGGCUAACUACGUG
rnacentral:rRNA from 1 species